GAGUAGAGAUGGAUUUUCCUGGUACUUCCCUGGUGUAAGCUCUUCUUCUACCCAGCAAUAAAGCCUUUGGGUAUUUUCAUAGUAAGAGGAAAUUCUAACAUCAUGAUCUGGGAACCAGAGAAGUGCAACCCGUCUUAACCCUUUCGGUUACCACGUUACAGUGUCUGAAGACCCUUUGCCAACUCUCUUCACCUUCAUUUGUUGAGGAAGGGGGUUGUUCUUGUGGGUGUUCUUUUCUUUUCCCAAAGGGAUGAUUGCUUUGUGCUACGCUCAACAAACUGACCUCAGGCUGAUGUAACAAGGCCCCAGACUGUCUGCACAGCCCGGCCACUUUUGUUUACAUGUGCAAAACCUGCAACAAAUUUGGAUUCCAGAUUAGCCUGUCCCUAUCCCCCCCUGCCUCCCAGCUGCAGAAGGGUGGCUGCAAACUGCAACCAUUUGCUCCUGGCAGCACUGGCACUGCACAGACCUUCCCCACCAGAACAAAAGCACAACAGUUUGAACUAGUCCCAUUUUUAUUUUAUUUUAUUUUUUAUUUCUUUUGAAGCAGGUAGUAUCUGUCUUCCCAUUUAUGUUAGCACACCCUGGUGCCUCUGCCUUGUGGAGGCGAGGCCCUUAGCCUCAGCUGCAAUGCAAUCCAGCACAGCGGGGCCUGCUGGGCAGCACUUGGGGUCAGGGCAGCCACAGCUGCACUGAAUUUGGUGCUCUCUGGGGCAGCUGUGGGGCGCUUGUGCUGCUAGCAUAUGAAAUGCCUUGGGAGAACGGGUCACUUUGGCACCAUUUCCUUGCUGGUUGUAGUGAACUGAAAUACAGACAUGCUUUCUCAAACCUCGAAAAAGAUAUCCACCUGUGUGCAGAUUUGGCCUACGUUACCCCUGCAUCUGAGCCUCCUGCAAGCCUGCUUUGAGAACGCCUACUGGUUUUGCUGGCACAAGCAGAGGAAUAGUUCAUUCCCAAACCCCACAGCAGCCAUCGCUUGCUGCUGCAAUACAAGGAGAGGUGUGCUGCUCUGCUGAGCUUAACCCCGGGAGGAGACCUGUCUGCACCCUGCAACAGCAAAGAACAGCAGGUCAGUGGGGCUCUCUCUGUUCUCAAGAAGCUGGUGCAUUCUUCGUGCCUGGGGAUGUUGGUUUAAGCUGUGAGUGGUUGGCGAUUUCACAAGUAAAGCAAUAGUGAGCGCAUCCCGAGAGGAAGGAGUGAAGGCUCUGAAUGAAAGCAUGCACUUCAGUGUGAGGUGGAAGCUGGUCAGUGCUGUUUGGAAAGUGAAAUUAGAGUCUAAGGUGCUAAAUGCUGGCGCGUUCAGGUUGAGGCCUCUACAGAGGUCCUACCCACUGGUACAAAAGCUGCAGGACCUGAAACAACGCAGAAAAUUCCACUGCUUUUUUGACUGGCAGCUCUGUUCCCAGGUGAUAACAGCAAGCCAAAAUGCAGGGUAGAAACCAAGGCCUUUUCCCACCAUGUUCCAUCCAUACCAAAGGACCAAGCACGCCAGACAUACUCUGUUUAAAAUUCUGCACAAACAAAUCCUCCGUUGUAAAUGAUCGUCCAUAUUGCACUGAAGGUAAGAAAUCUUCCGCACCAGCUGCUCUCAUGGAUAAGCUGGGACAGUGAAUCAGUGAAUCCUCCUUACUGCUGAGUUGCAACUCCAAAGCUGAGUUGUUUUUGAGUAAGCAGUCCACUCCUAAAAGCAAGUUCCUUGCCUCUACAACCCCCUGCAGCAUUAAGAGGAUCAGUGAGCAGAGUGCUAUAUCCCCACCAGGCUGCCUCAUUCACUUCUCAAGGAACAUAAGCAGUGGAGCAGGAGCCAAAAAAACAAAUAUUCCUCACUUCUUUGCUACCUUUUAAAAAGUGGUAACAAUUUAAUUAGUUUUUCACCCUCCAGGGCUGUAAGUUCUUGUAUAAUUAGAUAAUGGGUAAAGAUCAUACAACAUUCUGUUCUCGUAUGGUACACGGGUUCCAUCACUGAGAAUGUUUCAUAGGUUAUUCCAGUUACAGCUCCGGGCUAUCACCCAGUAAUGCUAUAGGAAGCCAUAGCCUCUCCCUCCCCUUUUACAAGACUUUUUUACAGGGAACUAUCUACCAGCAUUACAGGUGCUUGCAUAAAUCCCCUCAGCUUUUACCACACUUGCCACGGGGUAGUUUGAAGCAGUGCUGACAUACGCUACAAUGGGAAAAGACAAAAAUGGAAUGUUGCAAGGAAGCUGAGUGGCUGGGCAUUUCCCAAAAUAUCGCUUCCCAUGUUUUUAAUGCCACCCUUGUCCUUUGCGCUCUGGCAGGAGAGCCAACAUCAAGUUGACAUUGAGUGAUUCAGAAUGGGAAUUUAUUGGACAACAGCGAAGUUUAGAUUUGGAACAGCCCCCAGAAGGGCUGCUCUGCUAAGAAAAGUGCCUGAUGCAAGUCAGGACUUACAGGAUGUACAUGUGUUGAGGUCAGCAACUGUCAAUUAAUUAAUUCAUUAAAAUACUUGGAGAGAUUUAAAAUGGGCACACGGUGAAAACACGCAUGCAGGAGGAUCCUGAAACCGCUUCAGCUUUAGGGCAAACAAAAACCAGAUGGGAGAUGGGUGCGGUGAUGAAAAGGUGUGGGCAAGGGGCCCGUAUCUAUCAUUAUUCCUGCAGCUACAAUUUAAUUACUGUUCCUCAGCUCUGCAGAAAGAUUUUGUUAUUUUUUUAAGUUACGGGAAGGAGCACAAGUUCUGCAGUUGGAAGAUGCCCCUCAGCAUCAUCCUAAACCUGUUAGAGAUGCAUAAUGUGCUUUAUUCCUCACCUAGAAUAGAAAAUGUUUCCCUCAACUUUAGAAUUAAGGAACUGCUUUCAAAAAAAAAAAAACCUUAAAAGGAAGAAGCAAAGUCCUACACUUCCUCUCCUCCCUGAGCGUCUCCUUGCACCAGCAACAUCAAAGCAGAACCCUGCACGUGGCACAAGGAAGGCAAGGAGCCCUGCUCCAGCUGUUGGGGAUGUGCAGAUGUGCAUUGCAACCUUGAUUUGUGCACUCAGUUGGGACAACAGGGUGCAACAACAGGUUACAGAAAGGUAAGCUACCUGCCUGGGGGAUGUUAUUUAAAGCUUAUCUUAGUACUGUAAUGCAGCAGAGGUAAGAGGCUACAGCAACACCUACUCAAAAAAGUAGCUUUUUUUUUCCUCCUUGAGUUCUAUGAUGGCAAAGUGACGAUGACUUAUCCCAACAGAACAGCACACAAACUUACUAAAAAACAAACCAGAACAACUAUUUCUGCAUAUGGCAGAAAUAAAGCAAGUUCUCAGUUCAGAUUUUAAUACUCGCUGAAAAGAUUUGAAACUAUUUUUUUUCUUAACAGUUCUCCUGGUUGCUAAGAACACAGGAAGAGAUAGAUAUAUUUGGAUUAAAAUAAAAAGAAAACCAACCUUAAUUUUUCACUGUAUUGAAACAGCUGAUGAAGCUUGUUUGUGGCAAACAGAUGAAGUAUCUGUAGGGAGGAAUUCACUACUGAAAAAGCUGACAAGCAAACACUGGCUGAGCUUUCCCCACAAGAGCCACGUCAGGCCAACCAAGCCAAAGCAGGGAGAGUGGGGAGCAUUUAUUAUCAUCACUGCACAGAGGCAAAGCCUGACUUUCCCCCCACCUACAACUACAGUGAUGAAAUCAAGAUUGUAGGGGGGGAUCUUUUUUUCCCCUGUCUAUUGAAAUCCUGUCUACAACCUGUAUCUAAGAUGGCACGUAGCUUGCCUAGCCCUUGAGACAGAUUCACCCAGAGCCAAACUACACUUUGGGUUACUGUAAAAAGUCCAAAGGCAUUUUCUGCUGGAGACAUAAUGCCUGGGGAAUAUCCAUACAGAACAGCACGUACAAUGUGCUCGGAUGAAGAAGCUGAAUGAGAUUGCUUCAAAGCCAGAUAAAUGAAUUUUUUCCACUACAGAAUGCCAUUAUGUGGCUACCACGCAUAGCCAGGGUCACUGAAAUCAGUCAAGCAUAGAGCUUGAACUAGGCAAGAUUCCUCUCCACAGUUAUAUAUAAAUAUAUAUAUAUAUACACAUACAUACACAUAUAUAUAUUAAUUUGAACAAACUAGGAUGGAAGGAGGGAACUCUUGACUAGGGAAUGGAGAUGGGGUGCUUUUCUCACUCUGUGACAGCAAUCAGUAGGGAACGUGCUAUUCUGUCACGUCAGAUUUCCUCAGCAUAAGCAGCUUGUGAUAAGUUUCAUGAUGAAAGUUAUGUUAGAAAAAAAAAAAACCUGACAAAACUGUGAUUUCCCAAAGGAAACAAAGCAAACGUCAUCUACUUUGAAAAAAAUCUGAUUUUAUUUUUAUAUUGAAAAGACCUGUCAAUUUAAAUAGAUGUUUAUUUCCAUUCAUGGUCUCAACCAGUGCUGCGUGUUAACAUGCUGUUCAGAGCCGUAUAAAAAAGCCAUUUGUGUUACAUAGGUUAACAUCCUAGAACACUGGGGGAGGGGUUUUGAAGCAGCUUAACAUUAAAAAUAGGAUAGUCCCAAAAAACUUACAACUGAUGCAGCAUCUUCUAGUCUAAUUUUAUAGGAGCUGAAGCAUGUUGCAAAUAUAACCAAAGUUAUUUGGUCUUUAAAAAAAACAAAAAAACGUUAAAACCAGAUUACUUUCAUAUAGUGCUUCAAUAGUGAAGCUGUCAGCUGAGAGAACAAGAGAACAAACACACACUCGUGUGUGCUAACACACAGAGAACCACACUGAGCACAACUGGAACACCCCAUUCGUUCAGUACGUGGAUAUCGUAUUCAUCUGAAUUCAGGAUAGCUGUAAUUGAAUAUGCUUUUUCUUUCCUUUUUUUUUUUUGCCCCUUCCAAAUAAA